AGUUGUCACUGGAGCAGCAAGCGAGGAUCAGCUGUCUCCAGCCUUCUCGCUUGCUGCUCCAGUGACAAGC
rnacentral:pre_miRNA from 1 species